UGACUCACUAAUGCAGAUGAAAAUAAAAUUUGUUAGUAAAAAGCCUCCGUUUUCUUCAGUCCACCCUGGACGCUGCCGCUUACGUAACUUG